CUUCGCGGAGAGACGGCAAAGACAGGCAGAGAGGCUUCCCUCACACACUCGCUCGCACACGGCGCAAGAUGGCCGGGCGGACGGCUGCUUCGCGAGCGGCUGCGGCUUUUUUUACCCCCACCUCCGUUCUCUCCCUCCAACCUUCCCGGGCCGAAAGCGGCCUCAGGGUCGGGGGGUCUCCGCCGAUCCGGGGGGUUCGAGCUUGUGGGGUGGUGGAAAGUAUAGCCUGUCCCGGUUGAGGCGGACCCGAGAACGAGCCUCUGCGGCAAGGCGAGCCCUCGGUGUCUGCCGCCGCCCGCCCUCCGGGAUGUCCUCGGCUCGACUCGCCUGGCUUCUCUCGCCCCUCAGGACGGUAUUCUAUGAAUAUUUGCCACCUCAAUAACAGAUGGGUUAUAAGUGCUGCCCAGAAUUUUUUGUAGAUUUGUCUGACUUCUAAUAACUUGAAGGAUCCAGAUGGAGCCAAAGGAGAACAUGUUAGCCAUUUCAGGUACAUUGAUCUGACUCUACCUGAUACCUGAUUCUGUAUGGUGUAUUGAGUCCAGAGAAAGGAAGAAACUCAAAGGGAGACAACGAUUUCCAAAUCAAGAUGGCAGUUCCACUGCUGAGAGUUUCAGAUUGCAUGAUUGCUGAGUAUGCCCUUCCAAGAAAGGGAUUCUUUAACAUGGACUACGAUUGUCUAACCUACAGAAGAUUUGAGCUAAUUGUAAUCUUAUAUUCUGUUUUUAUUUUUUUUAAAUCUGUUUCCAGACUCUUGGGAUUAGCAUUCAGUUGGGGAUGAAGGGCUUGAAGGGGCUGAUCAAAUUUUGCAAACAGGAAUGUAUAAAAAUGUCUGUCCCAUAUAUAAUUGGCACAAGUGAAUUGCUAUUUAAAUAAAAGUAUUUUUUCCAUA